CUUCGCGCAGGCGCAACCUCGUUCUUUCCGAGGUCCGCCGCCGCGUGUGUGGAAGUCAUGGCUGCUUCUGUCCGCCGUGCACUCACUGAACAGGCUAGGGCUUGGGGUGUUGGCAUGCCUUUGGCACCGGUUGAGACGUUGGGAAGCAGAGCUGGAGGUUCCAUCCCAGAAGUAAUGGCAGGAUCCCUAAGCAUAAACAGACCGGUGUGGCCACCAGUAAGACGGUGGAGAUAGAUGGUGGGCAUCUGCUUCAUGCGGUAGUUCUGAAGUUCAGCUGUAAGAACACAUGUUGAACCAUGAGUCCAUUUCGAUUGGAGUUGGCUCCUGGAGACAUCAUCAUAAGAUGUGGUACGUAAGGAUCUUCAUGGUGAUGCUGUGUGUGGUAAGAGCUUCAUAGAAUUGCAGGGUUGUGGUUGCCUAGAAGGAUUGGUCUGUUAGAUUUGGGGUUGUAGGUGUUGCAGGAUGUAAUUGCUCAGAGAAGGGAAGAAACAUGGAGUCUCUCCUCUCUGCUCUUCACUUAGUGCUUUCAUAAGAGGUAAAAAGUUUGUGAACACAAAAUUAUUCCCCACUCUGCUGCCACGUAGACUGAGGCUUAGGGGAUUAUGCUCAGAGUUAUAUAAGCAGCUGUUGGCUUCCAGGGGACAUCUUAAUUGAUGCUGGAUGACUGUCCUUCAAGGCACAGGGCAGCCAUUAUAAGGACUUCUGCACCCAGCAUGUCAGUACAGCUGAAGUUAAGAAACUCGUAGAAAUUGCAUUUUAUAUAGGUUUUUUUUGGGGGGGGGGGAGUAGAGAUCAACCCUUUGAACCUGAGCCUUGUGCAUUCUUAGAGAUUGUUUCUUUUGUAUGUGAGUGUGCCAUGGCGUGUGUUUGCCAGUAAGUUUUUUCUCUCCUUUACACACUGAGGCGAAAUUGCAUUUUAGAUGAACUAAAGAUUUGGGCCUGCUGGCUGAUAGUGACCCAGAGCCUUGAAUCUUUUGUAAAGCAGAAUUAGUGGUUCCCAAACCUGGACGUAUCUCAGAACACCUAAAAAGUGUUUCCUGGGUCCACGUGGACGAGAAUGGUUCGAGAAUGGACUCCAGAACCUUGUAGGAGGUCUAAGAACAGGUGUGCAGAAACUAUUCGAUGAUCUGUUCUACUGUGAGUUUAGGAUUCUCUUACAGCAAGAGUAGAGGGCUGGCUGUUUUUAAGAGGCUCUUGGGAUAGAUUUCUUUUUCUUUUUCUUUUUUUUUUUGAGACAAGGUUUCUCUGUGUAGUCCUGGCUGUCCUGGAACUUGCUCUUGUGGACCAGGAUGGCCUCAAACUCCCAAAGAUCCACCUGCCUCUGCCAAGUGCUGGGAUUAAUGUGAAGGUAUGUGCCAUCACUGCCCGGUUUGGGGUAGAUUUCUAAUCUCAGUCUUUAAAAACUGAAAGCCGGGGCUGGAGAGAUGGCUCAGAGGUUAAGAGCACUGCUUGCUCUUCCACAGGUCCUGAGUUCAACUCUCAGCAACCACAUGGAGGCUCAUAACCAUCUGUAAUGAGAUCUGGCGCCUUCUUCUGACCUGCAGGGACACAUGCAGGCAGACACUGUGUACAUAAUAAAUAAAUAAAUCUAAAAAAAAAAACUGAAAACCACAUGCUUACUCUUGCACAUGUAGAUGGGGGAGGAGAAACUACGAUGUCAUCUUUUGGUAGUGGGUAUGAUAAAUGGUUGUCUUUCAGUAGGUCAGCUGAAGUAAUGGGUGACCUAAACCAUUUUGGGCAUUCCGAUGAUAGGUCGGAAGGACUUGUCAAAGACUCUGGUUCAGCAACCAGACAGAUGCUGCUGGGAGUGACCUUUUUCUACCCCUAAGGUCUUACCAUGUAGCCUGGGUUGGCCUUGAAUUUGCUAGGUUGGGUCCAGUUGUGCCUUGGCUUCCUUAAUGUUGGUGACCCUGGGCUGGAGAGAUGGCUCAGAGGUAAAGAGCACUGACUGUUCUUCCAGAGGUCCUGGGUUCAAUUCCCAGCAACCACAUGGUGGCUCACAACCAUCUGUAAUGAGAUCUGGCACCCUCUUCUGUAUACAUAAUAAAUUGAUAAAUCUUUAAAAAAACAAUAAAUGUUAGUGACCCUGUCUUUAAGAGGACAGGAGUAGCCAGGGAAAUGGUUCAGUGGUUAAGAAUACCUGCUUUUGGUGAGGACCUGGGUUCAUUUCCCAGUACCUGCUUCAGGCAGCCAACUGUAAUUCCACUUCUAGGGGAUCCAAUGCCCUCUCCUGGUCUCUAAAGGCACCAGGCACACACGGUCCACGUAUGUAGUCAAAACAUACACAUAGAAACUUUUUUUUUUUUUUUUCAAGACAGUUUCUCUGUGUAGCUUUGCGCCUUUCCUGGAACUCACUCUGUAGACCAGGCUGGCCUCGAACUCACAGAGAUCCGCCUGCCUCUGCCUCCCGAGUGCUGGGAUUUAGGUGUGCGCCACCAUCGCCAGGCAUAGAAACAUCUUUUUAAAAAGCUUUUAAAAGUGUUCUCAUGCUCAAAGGCUGGCAGUUCUGUGGGAGCUGAGUCCAUGAUGAUGUAAAGUUAUCCCUGUCUGAAGGUCAAGAGGCCUUUCUGUGUGGAAUGUGGAUAUCUGAAACUCAGCUUCCCAGGCGACAGGCAGACUCUGAGCGGUUUUUCAGUGAGUUGCUUUAGAGUUACCUUGUGUUUCCUUAUCACCAGGUGCAGGCUGAAUCUCUGGGGCAAAAAGGGAUGCUACAGCAGCCACACAGGUUAUUGCCCUGUAGUGCCCUGCCGCCGCCGCUGCUGCCCUUAAUCUCCCAGAGAGUGUCAUCAGAAGACCUUGGAGUUUGAUCUGCAAAAGUAGCCAGCAGAGUUAAGUGACUGCGAUCACCCUGGGAAGCCUCUGGCAGCUACUGAGUGCUCUCAGUUGGAGGCACUGGGGAGGCAGGUGCUGUAUCUGAAAAAGCAUUUCUCACAGUGGAUUUCCUGAGAAGUCAGGGUUGGGCUUUGUGUUUUGAAGCACAAAUAAACUUUAUAAAAUUUAA